rfam:Musa acuminata subsp. malaccensis Doubled-haploid Pahang (DH-Pahang) genomic chromosome, chr8
GGCGAGAUGAUGAGCCUUUCCCCAGAUGAUCGACUAUGAACACACUGUGCGCUAAUGUCUUCUCCUUUACGGAGAAGAUCAAGCCAGGACUCUGAUCUCC